ACGAGAUUGAAGAAAGAGCAACACAGGAUGUUGUAGAAAAAAUAAAAGAAGUCAAUCUAUUUUUGCAGUCACAAGCGGCAUCUGAAGAAUACAUAGAACAG